rnacentral:rRNA from 1 species
CAGUAGCCGCGGUAAUACGUAGGUCCCGAGCGUUGUCCGGAUUUAUUGGGCGUAAAGCGAGCGCAGGCGGUUAGAUAAGUCUGAAGUUAAAGGCUGUGGCUUAACCAUAGUACGCUUUGGAAACUGUUUAACUUGAGUGCAAGAGGGGAGAGUGGAAUUCCAUGUGUAGCGGUGAAAUGCGUAGAUAUAUGGAGGAACACCGGUGGCGAAAGCGGCUCUCUGGCUUGUAACUGACGCUGAGGCUCGAAAGCGUGGGGAGCAAACAGGAUUAGAGACCCCCGUAGUCCCUGUCUCUUAUACA